AUCUAUAGCCAUACCACCCUGAACGCACCCAAUCUCAUCUGAUCUUGGAAGCUAAGCAGGGUCUGGCCUAGUUAGUACUUGGAUGGGAGACCUCCUGGAAAUACUAGGUGCUGUAGGCU
ensembl:rRNA 5S_rRNA 5S ribosomal RNA